GACAAGGUUCCAGACCCUACGGGGUGCAGCAGGCGCGAAACCUCCGCAAUGUACGAAAGUGCGACGGGGGGAUCCCAAGUGUCAUGCUUUUUUGUAUGACUUUUCAUUAGUGUAAAAAGCUUUUAGAAUAAGAGCUGGGCAAGACCGGUGCCAGCCGCCGCGGUAACACCGGCAGCUCUAGUGGUAGCUGUUUUUAUUGGGCCUAAAGCGUUCGUAGCCGGUUUGAUAAGUCUUUGGUGAAAGCUUGUAGCUUAACUAUAAGAAUUGCUGGAGAUACUAUUAGACUUGAAGUCGGGAGAGGUUAGAGGUACUACCGGGGUAGGGGUGAAAUCCUAUAAUCCUGGGAGGACCACCUGUGGCGAAGGCGUCUAACUGGAACGAUCUUGACGGUGAGUAACGAAAGCCAGGGGCGCGAACCGGAUUAGAUACCCGGGUAGUCCUGGCCGUAAACGAUGUGGACUUGGUGUUGGAAUGGCUUUGAGUUGUUCCGGUGCCGAAGGGAAGCUGUUAAGUCCACCGCCUGGGAAGUACGGUCGCAAGACUGAAACUUAA
rnacentral:rRNA from 1 species